rnacentral:lncRNA from 1 species
AUGUGAACCAUCACAUCCUGCUCCAACAAAUGCUUGAACCCUUUCAGAGUUCGUGUGAAGCCAGGUGUGAUUUGGGGUUUGAAGAUAGCCUGGGCUAACAAGAUUUUUAUCUCCCCCCCCCAAAACCAAAACAACAACAGCAAAACCACACCAUCCACAACCCCACACCCACACAUACACAAAACACACAUGAGAACAGAUACUGUAAUAUUAAUAAUUAGGAGACUAUAAGGCGACGUAUACCUGUAAUCCCAGCUACUCUGUAAAUGGCAAAUUUGGUGCCAACUUAAGCCACCCAACAAGACACCUCUUUAGAAAAUUGUAAGCAAAAACUAAAGGAGCACAUGUAUGCACUUAUUUAGUUAUUUUCCUUGUGGGUGUGAUAAAAUACUCCAACAUGAGAGACUUAAUGGAGAAAGGACUUAUCCCUGUUCAGCUCACAGAUCAAGGCACACAGUCCGUCCUUCUGGGAGUUGGUCACAAGGUACCCAAAGUCAAGAAGCAGAGAGCAUUGGAUGCAAGAAUUCUAGUGUGGCUUUUAUUAUGCAAUCCUGGACCCCUGCUUUGGGAGUGGCCCUGCCAACAGCUAAGACAGAUCUCCAGGCAAGACCUGGUGGUUCAAGCCUAGCAACAUGGAAGGCCAACAUGGAGGCAGAGUGGCACCUGUGAGUUUAGGGCUAGUCUCGUGGUUUUCAGGCUGCUUGGUGUGAGCGUGAUCCUGUUCUCCUUUGAAAGAAAGAUGAGAAAGAGAAAAAGAAAGAGAAAGGGGGAAAGGGAGGGAGAAAGCCAGAGUUCACAUCAAGUCUAUUUGGUCUCUCCACUCCACCCUUUCUUUUAAGAAAUGCUCCACAAUUACACCGGGCACUUUGUCAUCCUCUGGCCCACUGACCUCGCAUCACUGGCUUCCCAGGCAUCGUGGUUAAUACUAAUUGUCAAGUUGACAAGCUCUACCAUCACCUCGCAGUCAAUCCUCUGGGAGCGCUUGUAAAGGUGGAAAGACUCACUAGAAAUGUAAGAGCUCUUCCACUGCUGGUUGGAAUACCAGGCCAAAGAAAAAGGAAACCAUGGGGCUAGUGAGAUGGCUCAGCAGUUAAGAACACUUGCUACCCUUGAAGACCACAGGUCAGUCCCUGAUAUACACUAAUGCCAUAAAACCCCAGCCCCAGAGGAUCCAGUGCCCUCCUCUGGUCCUCACAGACACCCUCAUACAUGUGCUAUAUGUAUGUAUUCACACAGAGACAUAAAUUAAAACAGAAUAAAUACUUUUUAAAAGAAGCCGAAUUCUGACAUCCAUUUCUCUGUUUCCUUGCUAGAGAGGUGGUGUGACCAGCUGCCUCCGGGUCCUGAUGCCAUUACUGGACUGGAUAUCUUAUAUUGUUUCUUGUCAGGAUGCAAGAUGGCCAGUCACACAUCUGAGAAGAUCACAUACACUCUCCUGAAGCUAUCGACGACCACCUUGAGAAUGAAUACCCAUUAUUCUCGAAAGCCCGUCGAG